GAACCCGCGGGAGCUUCCGGUGCGGGACGGGGGCCAGCCGGGAGCUCGUCGCUGCUGGGUGUGCGUGCGGCUCUCCGCGGAUGGCGACGAGGUGCUGCGGCUGCUCUGUGUGUGUCUCGGCUCGUCUUCUCCCCCGUGCGGAGGACUUCAGGGUUUUCUGUCACUGCCCAGGCCCUCUUACGGGGGGGAGACCACACACUACACUGUAGGAAAAGCAAAUAGAAGCCAUGUUUCGAAGACCCGUAUUACAGGUAUUUCAUCAGUUUGUGAGACGUGAGUCUGAAAUAGCCAGCAGCUUGGUCCUUGAAAGAUCUCUGAACCGUGUGCAGCUGCUUGGGCGAGUGGGUCAGGACCCUGUCAUGAGGCAGGUAGAAGGGAAAAACCCAGUCACGAUAUUUUCUCUAGCGACAAAUGAGAUGUGGCGGUCAGGGGAGAGUGAAACAUACCAAAUGGGUGAUGUCAGUCAAAAGACAACGUGGCACAGAAUAUCAGUAUUCCGACCAGGUCUCAGAGAUGUGGCAUAUCAGUAUGUGAAAAAGGGGUCCCGAAUUUAUGUAGAAGGGAAAGUAGACUAUGGUGAAUACACAGACAAAAAUAAUGUGAGGCGACAAGCAACAACAAUCAUAGCUGGUAAGAAGCUUGUGAUAAUACUAUUCCCUCCUCCCAUCCCCCUUGUUUUAAACCCUUGGCUUGUAAGUGACUUUCAUGGGGGCUUUGAGUGCUGCUGCUGAGAUUGUCAGGCAGCUCACCAUGAGAAGCGGGAGUCUGGUUUGUGAGUUUGCUAGGAGUUUCUGCAUUUGCCUGCCCCUUCAGAAAAUUAUCUCUAUACACAGUUUCAUUUCACAGGUAACUUUGGAGUAAAGCGUCUGUGUCAGUACUUAACUGUUUGAAGUGAGAGAAACUAAUGUCUUUGAGGACAUGGCCUACAUAGGCAGAAGCCUGUGCCGAGAUAGAGUUGCGCUGGCUGCUGUGAGUGGCUUUAGACGUUUAUGCAGGCUUAUUCACAGCCUGCUUGGUCUUAACAUGAUGAUUUUAAGUUCCUGUUGUUUUCGUUAGACAAAAUGCAAAACAAUGUAGAAAAUAGGGACACAAAGCUUAAAGAAGACUAAGUAGAUCUCUCCUAGAGCAGGGUUUUCAAACUUUUAAAAAAAACUCUACAAGAAUUUUGAAACAAACGUAGCCCUUUGUACAUGUCUAAGUCGACAUGAACAUUUUUUUCAAUAUGAAAUUGUUACUCUGAAAUGCGUAAUGGGUGUAAAAACCAUAGCAAUUUGAUCCCGUCAUCCUUCAAAAAAGUACAUGAACGAGCUCUUCAACAUUUGGAAAUUUUAUGUUCUUUCUUUUUCUCUGAACUUGUUUUUCCAUUUUCUCCUAAGAAAUACAUCUUGAUAUAUAUUGUAUGGAUAAAAAUAUUUUAUUACUCAUCCUAUUACAUUCUUAACAAAAACUCAUACAUAAACAGAAAUUUAAAAAUACUUAAAUUCUGUGAUACGAAGCCUAUAAAUGAUAUAUUUCUUCUUGAUUGGGUUAUCAUUAUAGUGGUUUUUAGGACAUAAGCUACUAACGCAAUUUUAAUACAUAAAUUUGAAAACUGAAAUCUUGCUGGAAAUGCAUCUUUUAGUAAGAGAGAUGAUUUUUUUUACCUCGUCAGUAAAUUAUUAAAAAAUAAGAGUUAAACAUUAAUUUUAUUCUUUUGUUUUCUUUUUAUGGAUGUAAAUAAAUACUGAGAAACUUUUUAUAAGUAAAUACAGAGAAAUGAAAGCAAGUAAUGUCUUAGUGUUUAUGAACUUCUGAGAUAUGUCAAAACUGGGUAUCUUAAAAAUUUUUUUAAUUAUGGAAAAUGUCAGACAUACGCAAACAUAGAAGUAAAAAAAAAGAUCUUCUGUCAUUUAGCUUCAACAAUUAUAGACUGAUGGCCAAUAUUAUUUCUUCUAUUUCCACAGCCCGCUUUUCCUCCACUUGAAUUAUUUUCUAGUGAAUUCCAGACAUUAUAUUAUUUCAUCCAUAAAUAUUUUCAGUAGGUAUUUCUGAAAGAUACGGAUUCCUAUUUGAAGCAUAACUAUGGUGCUAUUAUCACACCUAAUCUUAAGAAAUCAUUAAAAAAGUUUUACUAGGCAUCACAGUGUUUUAAGGUUCUUUGAUAGCUUUAUAAGUACAAGUCCAUAUGUUAUAUUACAUUGUUUAUAUGUAUCUUAAGUCUCUUAUUUUGUUUUAAAUAAACAUUUAUUUUCUCAUAGUUGUGGAGGCUAGACCUCUGAGAACUUAAGUCUCUUUUAAUUGACAGAUUUUCCUUUUAUCUUUCCUUUUUACCUCGCUCUGGAGUUCAUGUCUUAACCACUCUACCAUAUUGCUAAAUUAUAACUUGUCAUAAAUAAUAAUUAAAAAAUAUAUUUUCUUACUGGUUUCUUUGAGGCAUAUUGACCUUUGAAGCCAACAUAGUUCUCUGCCCUCAUUAUCAGACCUUAGACGAGGUCCCAGCUAUUUUGAUUUCAUGAUUUUUGGAUGUCUUGACAGUGUUUCACUUCUGCAUGCUCUUCCUUGGGCCGUGUCUCCGGAGAUACCUACCUGUUCAAAAAUUUAUUUAUAGAUCUCUAUAGGACAUACAUCUACACCUGUGAUUUUAGCAGUGGAAACCUGACUUUCUAAUAAAAUAGCUGACAUUUCUAAGUCUAUCAAAUAUGUAUUUAUGAAGCAUUUAACACUUUGACAUUCCACUAUAAACCAAAGUGUGAGUAAACUGCAUUGUAUAGAUUGUUCUGAACCAAGCCAACGGGUAAAUAGAAAUGGUUCAGAUUAUCUGCCAUUUUGUUCUCUUCUUGUCACUUGUAUUCACAGCAUGGGUGAGUUAAUUAAUUGAUUAGUUAACAUAGAUUUAUGGCUAGUAGUAAAGAUGAGUAGAUCUUUAGUGACACUUGAAUUGAAAGAAACAGUUUAAACUUGACUGCUUUUUUUUUUUUUUUCUUGUAGGGGUCCCUGUCUUUAAUAUAAAAGUAACUACCAGUGGAUGGCACUGUUGCCUUUUUACACUGUGGUGUUGCAAUAAUCUGCAAUAACUAUUCUGUAUCAAGAUACUAUGUACUUAGAAGACUAUAGUUAUAAAUAUUGUGAUACCCACUUUUUGAAUAAUUCUAAAGUUAUAAGAAUCUGGAUUUUUUCAAGUUAUGCAGGAAGUACUACUACUUUUCCUUUGUUCGUCCUAAACUAACUCCAUCUGGGACAACAUUUUAAGUGCAGUGUCUGAUGUCCUUGUAUGAAAAUACUCUGUGAUACUGAUUCGUAAAAAUUUUCCCAAGAAUGAGUAUAUAAAUCUCAAUCUCUUUUAAAAUGUAAAAAUAGAAUGUCUUCUGUGUGAGUGUUACAGCCUAUUUAGACAUGAAUCUGUCUCUGUUAAUAGUGCCAUAUACUAGACCCCAUCCUUUCUCUGUACCUCAAGUAAGUGGAAUGCUAUGCCUGGAUCCUCUUCUGUGUGAGGAUGUGCUGCCUGGUUUCAUGGCAUCUAUCAGAGUCUGGCAGGCAUUGAAAUUUAUGACUAGUUCUUUUGUAGGAAGUUAUUGCUGAGCAAUUAGAAUUAUCUUCAGGGAAGGCAAGAAAUACCACACUUCUAACAAGGUCUGAGUUGUUGACACAUAGCUGAAGCCCAACUUUUAGCUCCUUUGGUGCCUGUCAUAUAUGCCUCUCAUGAUGAACAUAGCAGGAGUUAUUUCACAAUUUAGGAAUUUUUCUAGAAUCCUGUUAACAGCACUAACGUAUGGGUGCAUUGUAGGCGAGCAAUUAAAGGAGAUGGAGAAAGAGUUCUGAAAGUAAUAUUUAUGAUUUGGUUUCUUUACAGAUAACAUUAUAUUUCUGAGUGACCAGACCAAAGAGAAGGCAUAGAGUGGACGAUUCUCCUUUGGCCAUUGUUUGACAGCAAGGACUGUGUCUUCUCUGUGUGCCUGCACCUUACCAAAUGUGUGGUACAGAAGAGAUACUGGAUCACCGGUGACAGAUGAAUGAUCCCAGUGGGAUAUUAAGCUUUAGGCCCCAACUGGAAGGGGUUGCUGAACAGCGGUUGGUAUCUGACCUAAACUGCUUCAAGACUAACCUAUCUUCUUCCCCUCUUUUGUUUUUGGACAAAUUUCACUUGUAGCAUUUAUGAAUCAGCAAUAAAGAUCUAAAAAUACA